AGAGAUCACAAAACUUAUUUAUAUUACAAAUUUAUUUAAUAUAUACAAACGUUUUGCGUUACUUAUGUUAUCGACAUUUCGUGUACGAGGCAUGGAAUACAAUCCGAAAUUAUGUUAACCAUUGAAAACAUUCGUAGAUUUGACUACGUAAUUCAUAUUUAUAUAUUUUUGUUUAUAGGAUGCAUUGCUUUCAGAGAUCGCCUAAAAGCAGACUAUGACAAAACAGAGUGAAAACUAUGAACAAUUUUGUUGUUUGUUUUAUAGAUUUUAGAAAUGGCUUGUCGUAUGCUACAUAUUUGUAGAGUUGUAAAUAAUUUGAUAAAAAUGUUCAAUCUGUAAACAAUGAUAUAUAUUAUUGUUUAAUAUUGUUUAAUUUAUUGCUUGUCAGUCAUUCACAUUUAUUAAAAGUAGUCACUUUAUUAAAUAAUGUGAGAAACUCUAUGUUCUUUGCGAAUAGACCUCAAGAUGAAUUAUGAAAGGGUGUGACAAGUAUCAGUAAUGCAGGAAGACGCAGAGAUAGAGCAAGACGAGUAAUGAAAAGAGAGAGCUCCUAAAUAAGGAGCAAAUUAUUGGCAUAGGAAAAAUUCCGAUACAAUUUCCUGGUCUAAACACUCCUGUGUUUAGAGGAAAAGAAUUAAUUCAACAGCAAAAACUGCUUGUAAAUCUUGAAAGAAAGCAAAAACUUAUGGAAUUACUACAAAGUCAGACCAGAUCAAUGCAAAUAAAAUUAUCGCCAUUGGAAUGUGGUUGGACGAGUGUUACAAGUGGAUGACAGAAGCAUUGAAUCAGAUCUUAUUGGAAAAGAUACAUUUGAAAGUUUUGAAACCUGGAUUUUGGAAAACAAAACGAUAACUUGUAUGACCGGUAAUUUAGCACGUAAGACUAGAAUCAGUUCAUUUAUAGUAACUGGAAAUGGAAAUGGAUUAAACAUAAAGCUAAAAAAAAACGUG